GACGAACGCUGGCGGCGUGCUUAACACAUGCAAGUCGAACGGAAAGGCCCUGCUUUUGUGGGGUGCUCGAGUGGCGAACGGGUGAGUAACACGUGAGUAACCUGCCCUUGACUUUGGGAUAACUUCAGGAAACUGGGGCUAAUACCGGAUAGGAGCUCCUGCUGCAUGGUGGGGGUUGGAAAGUUUCGGCGGUUGGGGAUGGACUCGCGGCUUAUCAGCUUGUUGGUGGGGUAGUGGCUUACCAAGGCUUUGACGGGUAGCCGGCCUGAGAGGGUGACCGGCCAAAUGGGGACUGGGAAACGGCCCGGACCCCAACGGGGGGAAGAGGGGGGGAAUAUUGCACAAUGGGCGGAAGCCUGAUGCAGCAACGCCGGGGGGGGGAGGACGGCCUUCGGGUUGUAAACCGUUUUCCCCUGGGACGAAGCGGGGGGAAGGGAAAUGGGAAAAAAAGCACCGGCAAAUUACGG
rnacentral:rRNA from 1 species